AGCGAACGCUGGCGGCAGGCCUAACACAUGCAAGUCGAACGCCCCUUCGGGGGAGUGGCAGACGGGUGAGUAACGCGUGGGAACGUGCCCAUCGGUUCGGAACAACCCAGGGAAACUUGGGCUAAGACCGGAUACGUGCGAGAGCAGAAAGAUUUAUUGCCGAUGGAUCGGCCCGCGUCUGAUUAGCUUGUUGGUGGGGUAACGGCCCACCAAGGCGACGAUCAGUAGCUGGUCUGAGAGGAUGAUCAGCCACACUGGGACUGAGACACGGCCCAGACUCCUACGGGAGGCAGCAGUGGGGAAUAUUGGACAAUGGGCGCAAGCCUGAUCCAGCCAUGCCGCGUGAGUGAUGAAGGCCUUAGGGUUGUAAAGCUCUUUUAUCCGGGACGAUAAUGACGGUACCGGAGGAAUAAGCCCCGGCUAACUUCGUGCCAGCCGCCGCCGUAACAC
rnacentral:rRNA from 1 species